CUGAAUCCAUUACAGUGAAUAAGCAAAACAAAUAACAGGAAAUGAAUAUCAGAAAAACACGAAGAGGAAUGUUUGCUAACAAGCUAAAGAGGCUACAAGCUCUUGAAUGACCUCACAAAGUGGCUUUUAUGUCCGGAUUUAAGUCGCAGUAAUGUCGCAGUAUUAAAGGUUCAAACAGGGAUGCUAAUCUGAGGUUCCCCAAACCGAUGCCAUCCUCGUCCUGUCUGUGAAAAUCACAAAUAUGUAAUUAGCUCCGCAGCAGCUGAGCGUGACUUGGGGAGCGCUCGCCCUGAUGAAAAAGAGGUUAGAAGCAAACAACUGGUACACAUUUCUACAACUCCUCCUUUUAUCCCUUUCUUCUAUUCAUGUUGCACUUUUAAUCAAUUUCUCUGUUUUGCUUUGGUGUCACAAAUCAGAAAAACACUUUUCAUUUUGCACAUUAAAGACAAGAAAUCCAGAUUGCAGAGAUGUAUGGAAGUUCAAGAAUGACAAAAAAAGGAGGAAUUUCAAUCCAAGAUUUCAGUUUAGUUUAAGAGAUUGCAGAACUCCACUCUAAGAGAGAUUGCAGACUCAGUUAUUAAGGUGUGUUUGCAGAUGUGAUCAGGUUAGGGUUGGUAUAGGGAAUUAUGAAAUGCUGUACAUAUGACUGAAUACUCUGAGUUUGGACUUGUUCUCAAAUGGAUUACAUAGGUGCCUCAGCUCUAAGUGCAUAAAAAAGUAAA